GUGAGUAACACGUGGGCAAUCUGCCCUUCACUCUGGGACAAGCCCUGGAAACGGGGUCUAAUACCGGAUAACACUCCUGCCUGCAUGGGCGGGGGUUAAAAGCUCCGGCGGUGAAGGAUGAGCCCGCGGCCUAUCAGCUUGUUGGUGGGGUAAUGGCCCACCAAGGCGACGACGGGUAGCCGGCCUGAGAGGGCGACCGGCCACACUGGGACUGAGACACGGCCCAGACUCCUACGGGAGGCAGCAGUGGGGAAUAUUGCACAAUGGGCGAAAGCCUGAUGCAGCGACGCCGCGUGAGGGAUGACGGCCUUCGGGUUGUAAACCUCUUUCAGCAGGGAAGAAGCGAAAGUGACGGUACCUGCAGAAGAAGCGCCGGCUAACUACGUGCCAGCAGCCGCGGUAAUACGUAGGGCGCAAGCGUUGUCCGGAAUUAUUGGGCGUAAAGAGCUCGUAGGCGGCUUGUCACGUCGGAUGUGAAAGCCCGAGGCUUAACCUCGGGUCUGCAUUCGAUACGGGCUAGCUAGAGUGUGGUAGGGGAGAUCGGAAUUCCUGGUGUAGCGGUGAAAUGCGCAGAUAUCAGGAGGAACACCGGUGGCGAAGGCGGAUCUCUGGGCCAUUACUGACGCUGAGGAGCGAAAGCGUGGGGAGCGAACAGGAUUAGAUACCCUGGUAGUCCACGCCGUAAACGUUG
rnacentral:rRNA from 1 species